GAGGAGGGCCGCCUAGCUGGGGCCGCUCGUCUCGAGGAGAAGAUCGCUGAGGUCCUCAGUCUCUAGGAGGUGCUAGAAAAGGAGGGACAGACCUCAUCUGAUCUGAGGACUGCCUUGGAGGAGGAGAGAGGGAAGGUUGAGGCCAAAAUCUCCAGACUGAGGGUGCAGGUUUUCGAGCUGAAGGCAUAGCUUUCCAAGCUGAAAGCAUAGAUUCUGUCCAUGAC
rnacentral:lncRNA from 1 species